rnacentral:misc_RNA from 1 species
GCAUAUGACUACUGGCAGGAUCAACCAGGUAGCAUUCCUCAUUGACAUCGAGAACGUAUGAGACAAGCCACGAGGACUCGUUCAACACGUGCACAAUAGUCGUUCGCACGAAGCGUGGGACGCUCGAUUUGGGUAAACAAAGGUACGAGACCUUGUUCCCGCUCAAUGUUCCGUAUCCAAGAGACCACGCACAACAUCAUGGUCCAACAUCCCAAACGCACAUAGGCAGUUCAAGUUGAGGAACACAAUGCGCACUACAAAGUCCAACCUAUGCCGAAUCCCCGAGAGGAGCAACACAAGAUGGAUGAUCGAAUAUUCUUACCAACGAAUGCCCUGAAAGUGGGAAUUCAACACAGAAACCCAACACCGGCCGAUGCGCRAUCAUUCCAACAACUGAAUAUAUGCARGAACAAUACAUUGUCGCUGCUCAAGCAGGGAUCCAACAUAUUGAUACAAGCCAAUCACCACUCA